UACGUAGGGUGCGAGCGUUAAUCGGAAUUACUGGGCGUAAAGCGUGCGCAGGCGGUGAUGUAAGACAGAUGUGAAAUCCCCGGGCUCAACCUGGGACCUGCAUUUGUGACUGCAUCGCUAGAGUACGGCAGAGGGGGAUGGAAUUCCGCGUGUAGCAGUGAAAUGCGUAGAUAUGCGGAGGAACACCGAUGGCGAAGGCAGCCCCCUGGGUCAAGAUUGACGCUCAUGCACGAAAGCGUGGGGAGCAAACAGG
rnacentral:rRNA from 1 species